CCCCCUAUUGCUGGGCCAUGCCCUCAAUUGCAGACUUUCCUCCUGCCCCCUCACCCCAGGGCGUGGCUCCUCUGGCUUGCUGGGAGUGAUCCAAGAACCUCUGAUUGGCCGUUCAGCCUUUGUUAAAUUCAGGUGGUGACCCCCAAACCAAGGAGAAGACCAAGGAAAGUCAACCCCAACAGGCUGGUGAAUGCUGGACAAAUUCUUUGUGCUUCUGCAGCAGAUUUGACCCUGGAAUGAUCCCAAAGCAGAAUUCAGGCUGCGGGUUAUAAUGAGAGAAGACGGAGAGAACAGGCAAUGAAAUCAUCUGCCCUGGUGAUGCAAUUUGCAGAGAAGCUGGGGGAGGGGGAGUGGAUGAGCCGGGUUUGCGAGCUGGGAGGAGGGCACUGGGAAGCGAUAAGUAUGGAUUUGAAGAGGCUGAUUUGAUCCCAUUGAUACACUCCCAGCUGCUGGUUGAGGUGCCCUUGGUGAGGGUCAGCCCCCUGGGGAAGAAGGUCAGCACGUUGGGGUGGAUGGAGAAGGAGAUCUGUUGGUGGGCUCAGUACUACAUGUAUAUGAACAUGAGCUCCACCCACCAUUUCUCAUCCACCUUCAGUACUGUUGGGAAGAAGUAGUAGAGGCCCUUGCAGCAUUCAGGAUGUAGGGGAGCAUCCAUCCCAUGUUCAUCUGUGCCCAUGUCAAGGACAGAGCACACGACACGCUGCUCUCGGAAGAUGAUGUGGAACCCGGAAGCACAGUGCAUGUAGUGGUCCCUGCCACAGCAGUUGGGAUGCAGCUUAUGGACCUUGGCCUCAGCAUCUGUGCUGAAGUCCUUUACCACCUGGUAGCAAUCCAGGUCGGAGCAGAUGAUAAAGAAGCCCUUUUGAUUAUCGAGGAUGUCGGCGCCCGGGGCGUCAUUGGGAGGGACCAAUGGUCCAUCGGCAGGAGUCCAGCCCUGAGACGAGGAGAAGUGAGGGCAGGAUGUUAGCUCAUCUCAUCCUUUGUGAACCUUUGAUGCUUGAAGAUCCCCAGUUCCAAGAGCAACCAGGCACUUGUCUGCGAUGAAGUCUCCUAGAUGUGCCCUGCAGACCAAUCUCCAGGGGGUGGCGCAAUCCUGAGGAAGGGGAAAGCCCAGUGUCCUGCCCCAUGAGGAUCCCACCUCACACGGGCUCCCACUUUCCACCAUGGAUCUGUCCAUCUGGGCCAUGUCUCCUCCAUCUCACCCCAUAAGUGCGAAGGGCUGCCCUGCGUGGAGAUAAAGAGGGGAGGAAAUAUCAACAGGAUCCCAAAGACUAACUCUGUGCCCAGCCAGGAGUCCGUGAAUGGAGCUCAGAGGAAAACAACGCACCAAAGUUCCCUCACUCCCGACCCGCAACCCCCCAGCUAUCCCAGCCCUGGGCUCAGUCCUCACCACCAGCUCUGCCGUUGCCCCUGGGGUCCCCCCGCCCCAAAGUUCCAGCUGACACUCCCACCUGGUAGUUGCUCUCAGCUGAUGACAGCUCCGCUUGGGGCCAGGAGCGAGUUCCUGGGUUGUACCGAGAUGGACGGGACCUUAGAGAAGAGCAAAGCCAGCCCUGCAAUCCUCUGGAUGUAAACGCUGACGGGGUCUGUGUAGAAGUAAAAUUUUAUAUUCGUACUAUGAGAAUUAAUGUAUAGUUUAAUCAUCCUGCCAGCCACCCUUUUUGAACAGCAGAAAGGAAAGACCCUCUGGGACACUGGUUUAAAAACGCAUCUGACAGACUGCCAGUGUCUGUACUAAUGUUAAGGCAAAAACCGACCAAAACAAUCCUUAUAACUAAUUAUGGUCACCCUUUUGUUUUAAAAUAAGUUGUAAUGUCUACUAUGGUUUCCUAUGUGUAUUAUAUAAAUUAGCCACUCUCGUUAAAUAUACAUUUCUUUGUUUUAAGGUUUAGUAAGUAAAAAACAGAAUCUUGUAUUGUGUCUACGUUAAAAAAAUUAAUUUUUUUUUGAAAAGCCCGGGCCACAAUGUGAACUGUUUUAAUCACAAAAUGUAGCCAGGUUUAAUUUACAAUGCCUUUUCUUUCUCAACAUACAAACUACUGGAUACCUUUAAAGGUCUCUGUAAAAAAUGGUUUAUGUAAAUAAAAAAUGUAUGCAUCAAAAAGAAAGGUGUAAAGGCCGUUGUUAUAGCCAAAUAAUCAAAAAAAUAAAAUAAAAACC